rnacentral:RNase_P_RNA from 1 species
UGAGAGCGUUAGACAAUCGCGGUCGUAUGCCGAAAGGCAGCGGGUGAGGAAAGUCCGGGCUCCAUAGGGCGAGGAUGCCGGGUAGUUCCCGGUUAAGGCGACUUUAAGGAAAGUGCAACAGAAAUAGACCGCCAUUUUUUGGUAAGGGUGGAAAGGCGAGGUAAGAGCUC